rnacentral:piRNA from 1 species
UAGUACUACUGGAGGAU